rnacentral:rRNA from 1 species
GACGAACGCUGGCGGCGUGCCUAAUACAUGCAAGUCGAACGCAGUGGGGACGGGUGAGUAACACGUGGGUAACCUCCCAUCAGAGGGGAUAACACUUGGAAACAGGUGCUAAACCGAUACUGAUGGAUGGACCCGCGGUGCAUUAGCUAGUUGGUGAGGUAACGGCUCAACAAGGCCAAUAUGCAUAGCCGACCUGAGAGGGGGAACGGCGACACUGGAGAUGAGCAACGGCCCAGACUCCUACGGCAGGCAGCAGUCGGGAAUCUUCGGCCAUGGACGAAAGUCUGACCGAGAAACGCCGCGUGAGUGAAGAAGGUUUACGGAUCGUAAAACUCUGUUGUUAGAGAAGCGGUAUCUAACCAGAAAGCCACGGCUAACUACGUGCCAGCCGCCGCGGUAAUUC